AGACAGUGAGGAUGUUGGCUUAGAAGCAGCCACCAUUUAAAAAGUGCGUAAUAGCUUACUCAUCGAGAGAUUCUGCGCCGAAAAUGAUUGGCGAUAAGCGGUAUACCGAAGCUCUGGGCUUUUGUCCCUGGGGACAGGAGCGGUAGAGGAGCAUUCUUGAUUGCGUCGAAGCGCGAUGGCGACUGACCGUGGAGUAUCAAGAAGAGAGGAUGCAGACAUGAGUAACGAUAAGACGGGUGAAAUCCCCGUCCGCCGUAAACCCAAGGUUUCCCGGGCUACGAUUUUCGUCCCGGGGUUAGUCAGGACCUAAGGCGAGGCCGAUAGGCGUAGCCGAUGGACAGCAGGUUAAUAUUCCUGCACUUCCGACCCUUAACCCGGAUUGACGCAUGGCUGGAGGUAACUAGGUAAUUGAAUUCCGAGGUGCGGCUACGGCCAAUCCGUAUUACCAAAGGCGGUGCCGAGAAAAGAUCCGGUGUAUGCUAAGGAACCUGUACCGUAAACCGACACAGGUGGGUGGGUAGAAUAUACCAAGGCGUAAGAGUGAACCCUGGUUAAGGAACUCGGCAAAUUGGCCCCGUAACUUAGGGAUAAGGGGUGCCUGGACUAGUCCAGGCCGCAGUGAAAUGGCCCAACCGACUGUUUAGCAAAAACACAGCAUUCUGCCAAGCCGUAAGGCCAAGUAUAGGAUGUGACACGUGACCAAUGCGGAAAGAUUAAGGUAAGAUGUUAGCCGCAAGGCGAAGCUUUGAGCCCAAGUCCCCGUGAAUGUCGGCCGUAACUAUAACGGUCCUAAGGUAGCGAAAUUCCUUGUCGGGUAAGUUCCGACCUGCACGAAUCGUGAAACGAGUUGGGCGCUGUCUCAACCAGGUGCUCAGUGAAAUUGUAAUGGCGGUGAAGAUGCCGCCUACCCGCAGAAGGACGGAAAGACCCUAUAGACCUUAACUGUAAGCUGUCAUUGGUUUUUCGAUUUUCAUGCUCAGCAUAAGUGGGAGACUUUGAUGUGGUCCUUUAGGGGGCCGCGGAGUCGCCAGUGAGAUACCACCCUUGGGUGUUGGAAGAUCUAACCUCGACCCGUGAAUCCGGGCGAGAGACAUUGUCAGCCGGUCAGUUUUACUGGGGCGGUAUCCUCCCAAAGAGUAACGGAGGAGCGCGAAGGUGGGCUCAGCACGGUCGGUAACCGUGUGUUGAGUGCAUAGGCAUAAGCCCGCCUAACUGUGAGACCCACAAGUCGAGCAGAUACGAAAGUAGGCCUAAGUGAUCCGGCGGUUGAAUGUGGAAUUGCCGUCGCUCAACGGAUAAAAGGUACCUUAGGGAUAACAGGCUGAU
rnacentral:rRNA from 1 species